UACGUAGGGUGCGAGCGUUUGUCCGGAAUUAUUGGGCGUAAAGAGCUUGUAGGCGGUUUGUCGCGUCUGCUGUGAAAAUCCGGGGCUCAACCCCGGACUUGCAGUGGGUACGGGCAGACUAGAGUGUGGUAGGGAGACUGGAAUUCCGUGGUGAUAGCGGUGAAAUGCGCAGAUAUCAGGAGGAACACCGAUGGCGAAGGCAGGUCUCUGGGCCAACUACUGACGC
rnacentral:rRNA from 1 species